AUUGAACGCUGGCGGCAUGCCUUACACAUGCAAGUCGAACGGUAACAGGUCUUCGGAUGCUGACGAGUGGCGAACGGGUGAGUAAUACAUCGGAACGUGCCUAGUAGUGGGGGAUAACUACUCGAAAGAGUGGCUAAUACCGCAUGAGAUCUACGGAUGAAAGCAGGGGAUCGCAAGACCUUGUGCUACUAGAGCGGCCGAUGGCAGCUUAGGUAGUUGGUGGGAUAAAAGCUUACCAAGCCGACGAUCUGUAGCUGGUCUGAGUGGACGAUCAGCGACACUGGGACUGAGAAACGGCCCAGACUCCUACGGGAGGCAGUAGUGGGUAAUUUUGGACAAUGGGCGCAAGCCUGUCCCAGAAAUGCCGCGUGCAGGAUGAAGGCCUUCGGGUUGUAACCUGCUUUUGUACGGAACGAAAAGCCCUGGGUUAAUACCCUGGGGUCAUGACGGUACCGUAAGAAUAAGCACCGGCUAACUACGUGCCAGCAGCCGCCGUAACAC
rnacentral:rRNA from 1 species